AUUGAACGCUGGCGGCAGGCCUAACACAUGCAAGUCGAGCGGAUGAAGGGAGCUUGCUCCUGGAUUCCGCGGCGGACGGGUGAGUAAUGCCUAGGAAUCUGCCUGGUAGUGGGGGAUAACGUCCGGAAACGGGCGCUAAUCCCGCAUACGUCCUGAGGGAGAAAGUGGGGGAUCUUCGGACCUCACGCUAUCAGCUGAGCCUAGGUCUGAUUAGCUAGUUGGUGGGGUAAAGGCCUACCAAGGCGACGAUCCGUAACUGGUCUGAGAGGAUGAUCAGUCACACUGGAACUGAGACACGGUCCAGACACCUACGGGAGGCAGCAGUGGGGAAUAUUGGACAAUGGGCGAAAGCCUGAUCCAGCCAUGCCGCGGGUGUGAAGAAGGUCUUCGGAUUGUAAAGCACUUUAAGUUGGGAGGAAGGGCAGUAAGUUAAUACCUUGCUGUUUUGACGUUACCAACAGAAUAAGCACCGGCUAACUUCGUG
rnacentral:rRNA from 1 species